CAGCCGCCGCGGUAAUGCGUAGGUGGCAAGCGUUGUCCGGAAUUAUUGGGCGUAAAGCGCGCGCAGGCGGAUAGGUCAGUCUGUCUUAAAAGUUCGGGGCUUAACCCCGUGAUGGGAUGGAAACUGCCAAACUAGAGUAUCGGAGAGGAAAGUGGAAUUCCUAGUGUAGCGGUGAAAUGCGUAGAUAUUAGGAAGAACACCAGUGGCGAAGGCGACUUUCUGGACGAAAACUGACGCUGAGGCGCGAAAGCCAGGGGAGCGAACGGGAUUAGAUACCCCUGUAGUCCCUGUCUCUUAUACA
rnacentral:rRNA from 1 species